rnacentral:rRNA from 1 species
UACAGAGGGGGCAAGCGUUAUUCGGAAUUAUUGGGCGUAAAGGGCGCGUAGGCGGCCAUUCAAGUGACGGGUGAAAGCCCUCGGCUUAACCGAGGAACUGCCUGUCAGACUGGAUGGCUUGAGACCGGGAGAGGUGAGUGGAAUUCCCAGUGUAGCGGUGAAAUGCGUAGAUAUUGGGAGGAACACCAGUGGCGAAGGCGGCUCACUGGACCGGAACUGACGCUGAGGCGCGAAAGCGUGGGGAGCGAACCGG